rnacentral:rRNA from 1 species
CCUACGGGUGGCAGCAGUGAGGAAUAUUGGUCAAUGGACGCAAGUCUGAACCAGCCAUGCCGCGUGCAGGAAGACGACUCUAUGAGUUGUAAACUGCUUUUGUACGAGGGUAAACGCAGAUACGUGUAUCUGUCUGAAAGUAUCGUACGAAUAAGGAUCGGCUAACUCCGUGCCAGCAGCCGCGGUAAUACGGAGGAUUCGAGCGUUAUCCGGAUUUAUUGGGUUUAAAGGGUGCGUAGGCGGUGGGAUAAGUUAGAGGUGAAAUGCCGGGGCUCAACCUCGGAACUGCCUCUAAUACUGUUGGACUAGAGAGUAGUUGCGGUAGGCGGAAUGUAUGGUGUAGCGGUGAAAUGCUUAGAGAUCAUACAGAACACCGAUUGCGAAGGCAGCUUACCAAGCUACAUCUGACGUUGAGGCACGAAAGCGUGGGUAGCAAACAGGAUUAGAUACCCGAGUAGUC